GACGAACGCUGGCGGCGUGCCUAAUACAUGCAAGUCGAACGCACUCUCGUUUAGAUUGAAGGAGCUUGCUCCUGAUUGAUAAACAUUUGAGUGAGUGGCGGACGGGUGAGUAACACGUGGGUAACCUGCCCUAAAGUGGGGGAUAACAUUUGGAAACAGAUGCUAAUACCGCAUAAAACCUAAACACCGCAUGGUGUAGGGUUGAAAGAUGGUUUCGGCUAUCACUUUAGGAUGGACCCGCGGUGCAUUAGUUAGUUGGUGAGGUAAAGGCUCACCAAGACCGUGAUGCAUAGCCGACCUGAGGGGGUAAUCGGCCACACUGGGACUGAGACACGGCCCAGACUCCUACGGGAGGCAGCAGUAGGGAAUCUUCCACAAUGGACGAAAGUCUGAUGGAGCAACGCCGCGUGAGUGAAGAAGGUUUUCGGAUCGUAAAACUCUGUUGUUGGAGAAGAAUGUAUCUGAUAGUAACUGAUCAGGUAGUGACGGUAUCCAACCAGAAAGCCACGG
rnacentral:rRNA from 1 species